AUUGAACGCUGGCGGCAUGCUUUACACAUGCAAGUCGAACGAGUGGCGAACGGGUGAGUAAUAUAUCGGAACGUACCGAGUCAUGGGGGAUAACCAAUCGAAAGAUUGGCUAAUAACGCAUAUUAUUCGAGCGGCCGAUAACUGAUUAGCUAGUUGGUGGGGUAAAGGCCUACCAAGGCGACGAUCAGUAGCGGGUCUGAGCGGGCGAUCGGCCACACUGGGACUGAGACACGGCCCAGACUCCUACGGGAGGCAGCAGUGGGGAAUUUUGGACAAUGGGGGCAACCCUGAUCCAGCCAUGCCGCGUGUAUGAAGAAGGCGUUCGGGUUUUAAAGGACUUUGGUUAGGGAAGCGGGACCUAAAGAAUAAGCACAGGCUAACUACGUGCCAGCAGCCGCGGUAAUAC
rnacentral:rRNA from 1 species